UACGUAGGGGGCUAGCGUUGUCCGGAAUCAUUGGGCGUAAAGGGCUCGUAGGCGGCCAACUAAGUCAGACGUGAAAUCCCUCAGCUUAACUGGGGAACUGCCUCCGAUACUGGCGGGCUGGAAUCCGGGAGAGGGAUGUGGAAUUCCAGGUGUAGCGGUGAAAUGCGUAGAUAUCUGGAGGAACACCGGUGGCGAAGGCGGCAUCCUGGACCGGUAUUGACGCUGAGGCGCGAAAGCUAGGGGAGCAAACGGG
rnacentral:rRNA from 1 species